rnacentral:lncRNA from 1 species
GCAGAAAUGGGUUUAUUUGGGAAUAGCAGAGAACUGCAAUUUGGAACAAGCAAGCUGUGGCAAAACCAUAGGCAAGUCCUGACCGAGGACAUAUUUUUAGAACACCUUGCCCCAGACUUGAUGAAUAUAUACUCUUUAUAAACACAUGCAAAAAAUUUAACAUGAGCUUAAAACAUUGAAAAAGACUGUUUAUAGACUAUGUUCUUUGGCAAUGAUAUAGACCAUGUUCUUGACUAAUGUGGUCUUGAAAAAUGUUAGUAUCAAUUGUCAAAUAGGAAAUAUGAAGAGGGAUCCCUGGGUGGCGCAGCAGUUUGGCGCCUGCCUUUGGCCCAGGGCGCGAUCCUGGAGAUCCGGGAUCGAAUCCCACGUCAGGCUCCCGGUGCAUGGAGCCUGCUUCUCCCUCUGCCUGUGUCUCUGCCUCUCUCUCUCUCACUGUGUGCCUAUCAUGAAUAAAUAAAAAAAAAAAAAGGAAAUAUGAAGAUAUAAUAUCAACUGGAAGGCUUGCCCUUUGCACACUUCUCUAUCAGUCAUAUCAGAAAUUCCAUAUGAAAUAAGCAUUGUGAAAGUUCUACUAGCUUCGUUAAACAUAUCAUCAAAAUAAGUGUUCAAAAAAUUUCCCUUUUUUUUGGAAUUUUCAACAAAUCAUGCAAAUUGUGUCCAUCUGUGUUUCUAUCCCUUUUGCUUCAUGGUCAGCCUAAGAGUUUGUUUAAAAUGAUUUGCUUUGUGUGUGCAUAUGCAGUGUUUUUUUCAUCUACUUAAGAUAAACUAAGAAAAAUAACAAUUUUAUAUUAUGCAGGGAUAUGACUGUCACUUAAAUCCCAACAAAUGGAGAGGGAAAACCAUUAUAUUAAUGGUGCCUUACUACUACUUGAAAACUCCUGAUGUAGGCAUUCCAGGUAGGGUUCCUUUUUGGGGAAAAAAUAAUUAUAAUGAAAGGAGAAGUUUGAGAAAUUUAGUAAUACUUGGAGCAGAAGUGGUUUUUAGUUUACAGAAUUUUUUUUUUUUUUUCAAGGCUUUGGGCUAUGGUAAGUUCUUAGGUAGAAAAAAGCUUCAUUUGGGAAAAGAAUGCAUGUGGUAUAGACUGCCUAAUCGUGAAACUGAAAUCCUCAGAAUAAUUUCUUAAAAGAUCACACAGAUAUGUUGCUCUCUCUCUCUCUCAAAUAAAUAAAUAAAAAUCUUUUAAAAAAAAGGGGGGGGGCACCUGGGUGGCUUGGUUGGGCGUCUGCCUUCAGUUUGGGUCAUGGCCCCGGGGUCAUGGGAUCGAGUCCCAUGUGGGGCUCCCUGCUUAGCGGGGAGUCUGCUUCUCCCUCUCCUCCCCACUCGUGCUCUCUCUCACUACCUCUGUCUCUCUCUCUCAAAUAAAUAAAUACAUAAAAAUCUUUAAAAAAAAGAUCACAUGGAUAUGUAAUGCUUUUUAACUUGAAUAUCACAUUGUUCAUGUGAUAUACAAGUAAUAAUUCCCAUUUUGCAAAUGUGGGAACCGAGAAACUGAAGCGCCUCACCCUAAGUCAAGUUGUGACAGCACAUCAUGCUUAAAUCUAGUGUUCUUGUUCCCCUAUUAUGUCCUGACCUUAUUUUUGACUAUUGGGUCUGCGGCUAUGAAAUGUAUUUCGUCUUGUUGACCAAGUAACACCUAUCUUUGGCAAGAACGUUUAAGAUCUGCAUAACCGAAUUGAAUGUUAGCUUUUUGCUUCUGAAUUCUUUAAUUCCCAAGACUCCUUAUAUGACUUCUUAUGUCUCAUGACUCAUUCUCUCUUCAGACCACAUUUGGUUUCCUCUCAUCGUCUCACCUUCUGCUAGAAUAGAGUCUGAAGCAACCCCUAUUUGGAUAAAAACCACUGUGACC